GAUGAACGCUGGCGGCGUGCCUACUACAUGCAAGUCGAGCGCAGCGGGGACGGGUGAGUAACACGUGGAUAACCUCCUAUAAGACUGGGAUAACUUCGGGAAACCGGCGCUACACCGGAUACUUCUAGAUGGAUCCGCGCUGCAUUAGCUAGUUGGUAAGGUAACGGCUGACCCAGGCAACGAUGCAUAGCCGACCUGAGAGGGUGAUCGGCAACACUGGAACGUAGACACGGUCCAGACUCCUACGGGAGGCAGCAGUAGGGAAUCUUCCGCAAUGGGCGAAAGCCUGACGGAGAAACGCCGCGUGAGUGAUGAAGGUCUUCGGAUCGUAAAACUCUGUUAUUAGGGAAGCGGUACCUAAUCAGAAAGCCACGGCUAACUACGGGCCAGCAGCCGCGGUAAUAC
rnacentral:rRNA from 1 species